CGGGAAUUUUGGGCAAUGGGCGAAAGCCUGACCCAGCAACGCCGCGUGAGGGAUGAAGUAUUUCGGUAUGUAAACCUCGAAAGAAUGGGAAGAAUAAAUGACGGUACCAUUUAUAAGCUCCGGCUAACUACGUGCCAGCAGCCGCGGUAAUACGUAGGGAGCAAGCGUUGUUCGGAUUUACUGGGCGUAAAGGGCGCGUAGGCGGCGCAGUAAGUCACUUGUGAAAUCUCUGAGCUUAACUCAGAACGGCCAAGUGAUACUGCUGUGCUAGAGUGCGGAAGAGGCAACCGGAAUUCUUGGUGUAGCGGUGAAAUGCGUAGAUAUCAAGAGGAACACCUGAGGCGAAGGCGGGUUGCUGGGCCGACACUGACGCUGAUGCGCGAAAGCCAGGGGAGCAAACG
rnacentral:rRNA from 1 species